CCGUUCUCAACGGGGUGCGACCACUUUGCUGAUACCGCCGGACAGCGCGCAGAAACCGCAGCGUACAUCAGUACGUGAGGAUUUUGAGCACUGCCCGGUACAGGAUCAACGCCUGCGCAGCAAGUAUAAAGUCGCUGAGAAAGACCCGUCGAACCUGAUCCGGUUAACCCCGGCGUAGGGAUUUGAGAGUGAGCGUCCC
rnacentral:ncRNA from 1 species